rnacentral:rRNA from 1 species
UACGGGGGGAGCAAGCGUUGUUCGGAUUUACUGGGCGUAAAGGGCGCGUAGGCGGCCAGCACAAGUCAGUUGUGAAAUCUCCGAGCUUAACUCGGAAAGGUCAACUGAUACUGUGCAGCUAGAGUGCGGAAGGGGCAACUGGAAUUCUUGGUGUAGCGGUGAAAUGCGUAGAUAUCAAGAGGAACACCAGUGGCGAAGGCGGAUCUCUGG